ensembl:lncRNA
AACUGCACCAAAAAAGACUUUCUGAAAUAUCCUGGUUAUCAGGUUAGCUCAUGUAGCUGCACAGGCUAAAUUAAGUAGGAAUUAUUAAUAUGAUUAACAAUUAAAAAUCCUGUUAGGUUAGUUUAUGUUAGCAAGUUGGCUAGGAAUGUUAUGUUUCUACUUCCUAUUGGAACACUUCUAUUUGAGAAGGAGGUGUGGCCUCUGUGUGUCAGUCCAAGUGAAGGAGGUGUGGCCUCUGUGUUUCAGCUCCUCGAAGGCAGUGUGGCCUCUGUGUGUCAGUCCCAGUAAAGGAGGUGUGGCCUCUAUGUUUCAGUCCCAGUGAAGGAGGUGCGGCCUUUAUGUUUCAGUCCCAGUGAAGGAGGUGUGGCCUCUGUGUUUCAGUCCCAGUGAAGGAGGUGUGGCCUCUGUGUUUCAGUCCCAGUGAAGGAGAUGUAGCCUCUAUGUUUCAGUCCCAGUGAAGGAGGUGUGGCCUCUGUGUUUCAGUCCCAGUGAAGGAGGUGUGGCCUCUGUGUGUCAGUCCCAGUGAAGGAGGUGUAGCCUCUGUGUUUCAGUCCCAGUGAAGGAGGUGUGGCCUCUAUGUUUCAGUCCCAGUGAAGGAGGUGUGGUCUCUGUGUGUCAGUCCCAGUGAAGGAGGUGUGGCCUCUAUGUGUCAGUCCCAGUGAAGGAG